AGACCGUUGAUAAGGAAACCACUUUCAACUUUAUUAUUUCUCAAAUGAAUAGUAUAGUGGUCCUUAAAGAAACAAAUUACAUAGUCUUCCUGCAUUAAACAAGAUACAGAAAUCAAAUUUUUGCUCGCGAUAGGUACAAAUAACAGUUUCUCAACAGCAAAAUAUUCUCUGAUGGUAGUCAAAGAGGAUAUGUUCUUAUGGCCAC
rnacentral:lncRNA from 1 species